CAGGGACAGGCCGGCCGCUCCUGCGGAGGAAGCGGGGCUGUGCAGAGGGCCCGGCGGCAGGGACAGCUCCGAGGGUCCGAGAUGCCGGCGGGACCCCUCAGGGGAGCCUGAGGCCCAGACACCGGCCAGCUCCCUCCUGGGCUCCCCCCACCCAGGACCCUGCUGUGGGCGGAAUGCUGCAGGCGGCUCCCCAGGGGGGUGAAUUCCGGGGUCACCCCGAGCGGGAAGCUGCCCACCUCUCCAGGGGAGGGCUGAGGCCCAGCUGGCAAACCCUUUGGUCAGUGCCCACCGAGCCCACAGGGCCCAGGCCUGGGCUCCGUCCCUCCCUCCAGCCAGAGGACCGGGCGGGGUGACCUGGGCUGGUCCCUGAGGCCCUCGUCCUUCUCGCCCACCGGGGACACUUACCCACUGACUGCAGAGUAGCGACCAUGCCUCCAGCGGCCACCCCACCCCCGUUGGCGAUGGCGGAUACCGACAUCAUUUUGGCUGCCAAGGAGGAGGCGGUGAUUCCCGCCCCGGUGAAGCCAACGGCGCCCA